rnacentral:rRNA from 1 species
CAGGACGAACGCUCGGCGGCGCGCCUAACACAUGCAAGUCGAACGGAGCUGUUUUCUCUGAAGUUUUCGGAUGGAAGAGAGUUCAGCUUAGUGGCGGACGGGUGAGUAACACGUGAGCAACCUGCCUUUCAGAGGGGACAACAGUUGGAAACGACUGCUAAUACCGCAUAACAUUGCCGAACGGCAUCGUUUGGCAAUCAAAGGAGCAAUCCGCUGAAAGAUGGGCUCGCGUCUGAUUAGAUAGUUGGUGAGGUAACGGCUCACCAAGUCGACGAUCAGUAGCCGGACUGAGAGGUUGAUCGGCCACAUUGGGACUGAGACACGGCCCAGACUCCUACGGGAGGCAGCAGUGGGGGAUAUUGGACAAUGGGGGAAACCCUGAUCCAGCGAUGCCGCGUGAGGGAAGAAGGUUUUCGGAUUGUAAACCUCUGUGGACAGGGACGAUAAUGACGGUACCUGUUUAGAAAGCCACGGCUAACUACGUG